rnacentral:rRNA from 1 species
AAACAUUGACAGUUAAAUACAUUUUCUGUCCGCCCGGGUACUACGAGCAUUAGCUUAAAACCCAAAGGACUUGGCGGUGCUUUAGACCCACCUAGAGGAGCCUGUUCUAGAACCGAUAAUCCCCGUUCAACCUCACCCUUCCUUGCUCGUCCCGCCUAUAUACCACCGUCGCCAGCUUACCCUGUGAAGGGUAAAAAGUAAGCAAAAUUGGCACUGCCCAGAACGUCAGGUCGAGGUGUAGCGAAUGGAGGGGGAAGAAAUGGGCUACAUUCCCUCUAAAAUGCAGGGAAUUACGAAAGAUGAAUUGAAAAUAAUACAUCUGAAGGAGGAUUUAGCAGUAAGCGGAAAGUAGAGUGUUCCACUGAAACCGGCUCUUAAGCGCGCACACACCGCCCGUCACUCUCCCCGAAACUUUACCAAAACAUUAAUUAAAAUGCCAAAAUCAUAGAGGGGAGGCAAGUCGUAACAUGGUAAGUGUAC